rnacentral:rRNA from 1 species
AGUGAACGCUGGCGGUAGGCCUAACACAUGCAAGUCGAACGGCAGCACAGUAAGCGCUUGCCCUUACGGGUGGCGAGUGGCGGAUGGGUGAGGAAUACAUAGGCAUCUACUUUUUCGUGGGGGACAACGUAGGGCCACUUAUGCUAAUACCGCAUAUGAUCUACGGGAGAAAGCAGUGGUUCUUCGGACCUUGCGCGACUGAAUGAGAUGAUGUCGGAUUAGCUAGUUGGCGGGGUAAAGGCCCACCAAGGCGACGAUCCGUAGCUGAUCUGAGAGGAUGAUCAGCCACACUGGAACUGAGACACGGUCCAGACUCCUACGGGAGGCAGCAGUGGGGAAUAUUGGACAAUGGGCGCAAGCCUGAUCCAGCCAUACCGCGUGGGUGAAGAAGGCCUUCGGGUUGUAAAGCCCUUUUGUUGGGAAAGAAAAGCAGCAGGUGAAAACCCCGCUGUUCUGACGGUACCCAAACAGUAAGCACCGGCUAACUUCGUG